rnacentral:rRNA from 1 species
UAAUGUGCUUGUAAUUGGAAUGAUGGUGACCCAAACCCUCACCAGAGUAGCAAUUGGAGGGCAAGUCUGGUGCCAGCAGCCGCGGUAAUUCCAGCUCCAAUAGCGUAUAUUAAACUUGUUGCAGUUAAAAGGCUCGUAGUUGAAUUUUAGCGUGUUCGAGUUUGCCAUUCGUUUGGCUUUUUCGAGUUCGCUUUUGGGUUUUCCCUUUUUACUUUGAGAAAAUUAGAGUGUUUCAAGCAGACUUUUGUCUUGAAUACUUCAGCAUGGAAUAAUAGAGUAGGACUUUGGUUCUAUUUUGUUGGUUAUUGAACCUUAGUAAUGGUUAAUAGGAACGGUUGGGGGCAUUCGUAUUUAACUGUCAGAGGUGAAAUUCUUAGAUUUGUUAAAGACGAACUACUGCGAAAGCAUUUGCCAAGGACGUUUCCAUUAAUCAAGAACGAAAGUUAGGGGAUCGAAGACGAUCAGAUACCGUCGUAGUCCUAACCAUAAACCAUGCCGACUAGUGAUUGGAGGUCGUCGUUUUGCUGA